AUACUCUGGUUUCUCUUCAGAUCAUAUAAAUCUUUUGCCUUUUACUAAAAAUUUCCAUGGAGAGGAAUAGCAGAAGUUUACAAGGCUGAUACAAAAUUCAUAAUAUGAUACUAUACUGGGAUUUA
ensembl:snRNA U5 U5 spliceosomal RNA